UACGUAGGGUGCGAGCGUUGUCCGGAAUUAUUGGGCGUAAAGGGCUCGUAGGCGGUUUGUCACGUCGGGAGUGAAAACUCGGGGCUUAACCCCGAGCCUGCCUCCGAUACGGGCUGACUAGAGGUAUGCAGGGGAGAACGGAAUUCCUGGUGUAGCGGUGAAAUGCGCAGAUAUCAGGAGUAACACCGGUGGCGAAGGCGGGUCUCUGGGCCGAAAUUGACGCUGAGGAGCGAAAGCGUGGGGAGCAAACAGG
rnacentral:rRNA from 1 species